rnacentral:rRNA from 1 species
AUGAACGCUAGCGACAGGCUUAACACAUGCAAGUCGAGGGGCAGCGGGGGUAGCAAUACCCGCCGGCGACCGGCGCACGGGUGAGUAACGCGUAUGCAACUUACCUAUCAGAGGGGGAUAACCCGGCGAAAGUCGGACUAAUACCGCAUGAAGCAGGGGCCCCGCAUGGGGAUAUUUGCUAAAGAUUCAUCGCUGAUAGAUAGGCAUGCGUUCCAUUAGGCAGUUGGCGGGGUAACGGCCCACCAAACCGACGAUGGAUAGGGGUUCUGAGAGGAAGGUCCCCCACAUUGGUACUGAGACACGGACCAAACUCCUACGGGAGGCAGCAGUGAGGAAUAUUGGUCAAUGGCCGAGAGGCUGAACCAGCCAAGUCGCGUGAGGGAUGAAGGUUCUAUAGAUCGUAAACCUCUUUUAUAAGGGAAUAAAGUGCGGGACGUGUCCCGUUUUGUAUGUACCUUAUGAAUAAGGAUCGGCUAACUCCGUGCCAGCAGCCGCGGUAAUACGGAGGAUCCGAGCGUUAUCCGGAUUUAUUGGGUUUAAAGGGUGCGUAGGCGGCCUUUUAAGUCAGCGGUGAAAGUCUGUGGCUCAACCAUAGAAUUGCCGUUGAAACUGGGGGGCUUGAGUAUGUUUGAGGCAGGCGGAAUGCGUGGUGUAGCGGUGAAAUGCAUAGAUAUCACGCAGAACCCCGAUUGCGAAGGCAGCCUGCCAAGCCAUUACUGACGCUGAUGCACGAAAGCGUGGGGAUCAAACAGGAUUAGAUACCCUGGUAGUCCACGCAGUAAACGAUGAUCACUAGCUGUUUGCGAUACACUGUAAGCGGCACAGCGAAAGCGUUAAGUGAUCCACCUGGGGAGUACGCCGGCAACGGUGAAACUCAAAGGAAUUGACGGGGGCCCGCACAAGCGGAGGAACAUGUGGUUUAAUUCGAUGAUACGCGAGGAACCUUACCCGGGUUUGAACGCAUUCGGACCGAGGUGGAAACACCUUUUCUAGCAAUAGCCGUUUGCGAGGUGCUGCAUGGUUGUCGUCAGCUCGUGCCGUGAGGUGUCGGCUUAAGUGCCAUAACGAGCGCAACCCUUGCCACUAGUUACUAACAGGUUAGGCUGAGGACUCUGGUGGGACUGCCAGCGUAAGCUGCGAGGAAGGCGGGGAUGACGUCAAAUCAGCACGGCCCUUACAUCCGGGGCGACACACGUGUUACAAUGGCGUGGACAAAGGGAUGCCACCUGGCGACAGGGAGCGAAUCCCCAAACCACGUCUCAGUUCGGAUCGGAGUCUGCAACCCGACUCCGUGAAGCUGGAUUCGCUAGUAAUCGCGCAUCAGCCAUGGCGCGGUGAAUACGUUCCCGGGCCUUGUACACACCGCCCGUCAAGCCAUGGGAGCCGGGGGUACCUGAAGUCCGUAACCGAAAGGAUCGGCCUAGGGUAAAACUGGUGACUGGGGCU